rnacentral:rRNA from 2 species
GACGAACCGUGCGAACGUUAUUCGGAAUCACUGGGCUUAAAGGGCGCGUAGGCGGGCAACCAAGUCCGGGGUGAAAUCCUCCAGCUCAACUGGAGAAGUGCCUCGGAUACUGGCUGCCUCGAGGAGGGUAGGGGCAUCUGGAACUAGCGGUGGAGCGGUGAAAUGCGUUGAUAUCGCUAGGAACUCCGGUGGCGAAGGCGAGGUGCUGGACCCUUUCUGACGCUGAGGCGCGAAAGCCAGGGGAGCGAACGGG